GCAAGUCGAACGGUAACGCGGGGGCAACCCUGGCGACGAGUGGCGAACGGGUGAGCAACACAUCGGAACGUGUCCUUCGGUGGGGGAUAGCUCGGCGAAAGCCGGAUUAAUACCGCAUGCGAUCCACGGAUGAAAGCGGGGGACCUGGCAACGGGCCUCGCGCGGUUGGAGCGGCCGAUGUCGGAUUAGCUAGUUGGUGGGGUAAGAGCCCACCAAGGCGACGAUCCGUAGCGGGUCUGAGAGGACGGCCCGCCACACUGGAACUGAGACACGGUCCAGACUCCUACGGGAGGCAGCAGUGGGGAAUUUUGGACAAUGGGGGCAACCCUGAUCCAGCCAUGCCGCGUGAGUGAAGAAGGCCUUCGGGUUGUAAAGCUCUUUCGGACGGAACGAAAUGGUUGCGGUGAACAAUCGCCGCUGAUGACGGUACCGUAAGAAGAAGCACCGGCUAACUACGUGCCAGCAGCCGCGGUAAUACGUAGGGUGCGAGCGUUAAUCGGAAUUACUGGGCGUAAAGCGUGCGCAGGCGGNCUCUUAAGACAGGUGUGAAAUCCCCGGGCUUAACCUGGGAAUGGCGCUUGUGACUGGGGGGCUUGGAGUGCGGAAGAGGGAGAUGGAAUUCCUGGUGUAGCAAUGAAAUGCGUAGAGAUCAGGAGGAACACCGAUGGCGAAGGCAGUCUCCUGGGCCAGGCACUGACGCUCAUGCACGAAAGCGUGGGGAGCAAACAGGAUUAGAUACCCUGGUAGUCCCAC
rnacentral:rRNA from 1 species